rnacentral:misc_RNA from 1 species
UGCGGAGGGAUCAUUACAGAGUUAAACUAAACUCCAAACCCUAUGUGAACCUUACCUCCAGUUGCCUCGGCGCUCGCUGCGGCUACCCUGUAGCCCGCCCUGUAAAACGGGCGGCUACCCUGUAGCCGGCUCACGGCCCGCCGGAGGACCCCUAAACUCUGUUUAAAAAUAGUGUAUUUCUGAAUGCUCCAAAAUAAAAAUAAGUUAAAACUUUCAACAAACGGAUCUCUUGGUUCUGGCAUCGAUGAAGAACGCAGCGAAAUGCGAUGAAGUAAUGUGAAUUGCAGAAUUCAGUGAAUCAUCGAAUCUUUGAACGCACAUUGCGCCCAUUAGUAUUCUAGUGGGCNUGCCUAUUCGAGCGUCAUUUCGACCAUUAAGCCCUGUAGCUUAGCGUUGGGAGCCUACGGUUAUAGCGUAGCUCCUCAAAGUCAGUGGCGGAGUUAUGGCGUACUCUGAGCGUAGUAAAUCUUUUCUCGCUUCUGCAGUCGCCCUAGCCGCCUGCCGUAAAACCCCCUAGANGUAUAGUGGCAGCACNAGGGUGGAG